rnacentral:lncRNA from 1 species
UUGGCAGUCAUCAUUCCACCUGACCAUUGAUUUCUUUCUCUUUUAUUUGUUUUUGGUUCAGGCGUCUAUUGCACUGUUCUUUUUUCUUGUUUUUUUUCCUUCUUUUUUUUUGUUCACAGGAUCGUCCUCGAUUCCUCUGAUUUGCCCCCAACAAGCCUCGGCAGCUCACCGGACAGCACUCCAUAAGUGCACUGAUUCUGACUCAACAGUGUGAGUUAUCCCGACCGGUCAAACAACUUGAUCAAGUCCACCGGAGGCCCCUCUUCUACUUGGGACUUUGUCAUCAUGUCAUCAACAUGGCAUUCAAUUUCAUGAUGAGUCAUAUCAUGAAACAAAGUCA